GGGGUCGUGGUGAAAUGGUAUCACAUUGGUCUCCAAAACCAAUUUUUCAGGUUCAAGUCCUGACGACCCUG
rnacentral:tRNA from 1 species